GGUCAAGGGAGAAAGAGCAUAGGGUGGAUGCCUUGGCAUCAGCAGCCGAAGAAGGGCGUGGCAAGACUGCGAAAAGCCUCAGUGAGCUGUCUAGCUAGCUUAGCUGGGGAUUCCCGAAUGGGGCAACCCGCUUGGGUGAAAACCCAAGCACUCGCUAAAGCGAGGGGGAACUGGGUGAACUGAAACAUCUUAGUAACCCGAGGAAGAGAAAUCAAAAGAGAUUCCCUGAGUAGUGGCGAACGAAAGGGGAACAGUCCAAACCAAGGUAGCUAAGUGGACUUGGAUCCUAAGCUAUUUUGAGGUUGUAAGACGCAAGGGGCAGAUUCCAAGGUCUGCCACAGAGUGACAAAACUUUUUCUUAGUCGAAUGCUUCUGGAAAGGGCAACCGUAGAAGGUGAUAGUCCGGUAGGCGAAAAGGGAAAGUCUCUGCUUGUGUUCUUGAGUACCACGGGACACGAGGAAUCCUGUGGGAAGCAGGGGGGACCACCCUCCAAGGCUAAAUACUGCUGAUGACCGAUAGUGAACCAGUACCGUGAGGGAAAGGUGAAAAGCACCCCGGGAGGGGAGUGAAAUAGAAUCUG
rnacentral:rRNA from 1 species